CUGAAAAGCCACGUCUUUUCUAUUUUCUUUGGUUCCACGUCUUUUGCUCCGACUUAAACAUUGCUCAAUCCAAGAUGUAAUUAUCGGGGACAACUUCAGUACUGAAGAUCUCAACUAAGUUUCAGCUUGCAUAUUGCAUUGGAACUUCAAGCUAUAGUUUCUGCAUUCCAGUGUGAUACUUGUGUAUCCGUGUGUUUGUGAAGCAUUUCAUAGUGUGGAAUGAAAAAGUAUUGCUGAAAUAUCGGAUAGAAAUCUGAAAAAUGAUCAAAACUUCGAAAAAGUACAUUCCACGAAAAGGCUAGGCGACACGAAUUAUAUAGAAUGAUGCAAGAUGAUAAAAUAGAGGCUCUCUUAACACGAGCACGAGCAAACAAAGCUGAAUCGAGUGGAUGACAUCUGGUUGUCAGUUGAGUUAUGCAUAUGAUUUUUCAGUUCUCUUCAUAUUCUUUGGUGUAAUUAUUAUAUGUAUGUGAUUAUUUUUUUAAUGCCUCUACGAAUAUUUUUUUCCGUAGGAUUGCAGACUCCUACAUUAUUGGGAUCACUGAAUUAUCAUUUAGAACAAAUAUAGUUACGCAGCAAAGGAGAACUUCAAUGCAGCCAAGUUGUUUGACGUAUGAGUAAAUUUCUACAGUUAAAUACCUAUUUCAUCCAUGAACCUAAACUUCAAACCAGUGGAACAUGGAGAUUUUCUUUUGUUUGUAAGGUUAACUUCCAUGUGAAUGCUUUGUCCAUUGAUCUGAGAAAGAUAGCGAUAAUCCUUCGAAUUUUUCUCUCUUAUCUUCCGAAGACUAAGGUUCAUGCCUUUUCUUUCAAAUGGCAAUCACUUAGUUGCGGUGCUGAAAUUAUAUUUCUAGCUGAGGUAAAUUGUUGUCAUUGUCAAGUGAGCGAAGAUAACAAGGUCAGAGGGGAGGAUCAGUCAAUGGAAGUGAGGAACUUUCUCCUCACUUUGAUAGGAUAACAGCGAAUUCUGAAGUUGGCGGCAUGCGUCCAGGAAAAAGUGGUGAGGCCAUGAGGGAUAUUUGGACAAUGACACAGAGUAUCACUUAGAGGAAUCACAUGGUGAUAGUAAUGCUUUGGAGAGCCCGAUGGAUCUUAAGCUGAGUUUACAAGCUUUUUUCCAUGCAAUUCAACAGAAAUGACAUCCUCAUCAUCACCAUAAUGCCUUUGGAAUCCAAGAUACACUUGGCUCUCCCGCGCCGUGCUCUAUAUAUUCUGGAAAAGCCAUUUACAUGUCACAACAGUGUGGCUGAUACUCUUGGAUGUGGAAGCCCGAAGAAUGGUGAUGUUAUUUUCGUAUCUAUUUGCACAAGGCUCCAAAAGAGUAGAAUUAGUUGGAUGGAUUUGCGAUACCGUCAACAUUGUUGUCUUUGCUCCUCCUUUAAGCACAAGAGUCCCCUCCUGGUGCAGACUUCUUGGCUUACGCAGAUGUUGGUGAGACCUGUCAAAUGAAAUAACAGAUGCUAACUUCAUCUCUGUCGUGAUUGCUGAAUUCACCCAUGCGAAUACUGAAUGUUCUAUUUUGCAUCCUCUUAUCCUACCAGGAUAAGGCUACAUACAAUAGACCAACCAUUAAGAAUCAGGUGCUCCAGAACUUAUCCUCACGUUGUGGUUUUUGGAGUGGCAAGGUUAGCUAUUAGACUGACGAGACGAAUUCAGACAUGAACUGAGAUGUGGUUAUGAUGUAUUUGCAGAUAUUUUCUCUAUAUUUUUGAUCAUAUGGCUAAAUAUAGAAUGAUUAUGGACAA